GGAUAGAGCGCUGCCCUCCGGAGGCAGAGGUCUCAGGUUCAAAUCCUGUCGGGCGCG
rnacentral:tRNA from 1 species